rnacentral:tRNA from 1 species
UGGGUUGUGGCUCAAGUGGUAGAGUGCUCAUCCAGCAUGUGUGAGACACUGGGUUCGAUGCUCAGCACCAUAU